UUAAUCAAAUUGAACCUUCUCAUUUUCAGGCAAAACUAAGGAUCAGAGAUUUUAAACACUCAAAGUCACAGAGCUAAAGGCAAAGACUGUUGCUGUGUCCUGCAGGCCCUCAGCUGCACACGGUGGGAUGUCGCUCCAGGACCGCGCUUCAGAUGUAGCAAGAAAGGGAACCACCUCCAAAUGAGGCUGCAGAGUUUAGCGUCACUGUGCGAAGCUCCUGCGUUAUCA